UACGUAGGGUGCGAGCGUUGUCCGGAAUUAUUGGGCGUAAAGAGCUCGUAGGCGGCUUGUUGCGUCGACUGUGAAAACCCGCGGCUUAACCGCGGGCUUGCAGUUGAUACGGGCAGGCUAGAGUUCGGUAGGGGAGACUGGAAUUCCUGGUGUAGCGGUGAAAUGCGCAGAUAUCAGGAGGAACACCGGUGGCGAAGGCGGGUCUCUGGGCCGAUACUGACGCUGAGGAGCGAAAGCGUGGGGAGCGAACAGG
rnacentral:rRNA from 1 species